rnacentral:SRP_RNA from 1 species
GGCCGUGCUAAGCGGGGAGGUAGCGGUGCCCUGUACCUGCAAUCCGCUCUAGCAGGGCCGAAUCCCUUCUCGAGGUGGUAACAUCGACAGAAGGUGCACGGUC